AACGAAGAUGUUUCAUUGGAUCAGUUAAACCCUCGUACCUUUCCAUUGAUGGUAAAACCUUAUUCUCCGGUAUAAUAGCCCUCAUUACCCGUGCGGUGAACGGGUGGAGCCCUUCAGCCUGAUCGGGUAACUCAACUACAACUCGAUCAUCCACCAACGGAUUUUCUUCCUCCGACGCAUUUCCCCGCCUAUCUUCAUCGUUUCAUCCAUCAUAAUCUCUUGCCUCGUACUCCUCUUCAUUCCCAUUCUACCCGUUCCCUCCUCCCCUUCCACGUCCAUCUCCUCACCCAUUUCCUCGCCCUCUCGUGUUUCUCCCUCUUCCUCGGCCAUUUCCUCGUCCUCCCCUUAUUCCAGACCCGCCAUUAUCAUUUCCCUUCACCUGGACAGUGGGAUUGUCCUCACCACUCCUAGAGUUCACGGUCUCAACAUUCACCGACUGAACCGAAGGUCCGCCCCUUCCCUCACCUCGCUCAGCCCUCAUUGCCGCCAUCUCUGCCCGUAUUUCCUCCAUCUGCCUUUGCAUUUCUUAUAAUUGCCGCCAUUGUGAUCGUGUUUGGGUUGUGUUAGGAAUCUCGGGCCCCACGAUGGGCGCCAAAAUGUUUCGGAUGUAGGACUCGAGCCCAAACGCAAUUCAAGUUGUUUUCUGUCAAGUCUUUUCAAUUCUUCUUACACCAAUCACCGACCGGUUGUGACCUGCACGUUAGCACUCCGACGCUCAAGUCAACACAGUCACAAUAAGGCCAGGGAAUAUGUAAUUAGGUUAAAAAAGAUGUCAUACCUGGCUAAUUAUUUUCUAUAUUUAUAAGCAUAGGACUGGAGUAACGGAUAUUAAACUACCUGUAACCGCUGAUUCGUUGUCCCGCAAUAUCCGCAAUAUUCGCCCACUAAUUACGGUUGUUGCUAACGUGCCCGAGAUAUUCGCUCCACUAACCCCGCCAUUUUGUCUUACACUCCUAGCACGUUUCCUUUAUUCAACCGAUCAGCUCACCAACCACACCUAUCAAUCUUAUAUCCUUCUUGUUCGGUUCCCAUCGCUUGUAAACUCUUAUUGUCUUGCCCAGUUGUGUCGAUCCGCCCCCUUAUACUAUAGACAAUAUGCUAAAUAAGAGAAAUUUUUUUAUACCGAUAGCAUUGUAAACAGGUAUAAAAAAUAAUUUUAUACUGGUUAAACUUAUAAUCGAUAUAAAAAUAAUAGGUUUAAUGUCUCAAUAAGUUUCUAUUUUCGUUCAGAAAUUCAAAUAGGUCCC
rnacentral:lncRNA from 1 species